rnacentral:rRNA from 1 species
UGGGGAAUAUUGGGCAAUGGGGGAAACCCUGACCCAGCAACGCCGCGUGAGGGAAGAAGGUUUUCGGAUCGUAAACCUCUGUCCUUGGUGAAGAGAAGAAGACGGUAGCCAAGGAGGAAGCCCCGGCUAACUACGUGCC